CACGUUUCAAGCUUGACCUUUUUUGUACUUUAUUAGCUUUUUAGGUGAACGUCCAACACAAAGUGGUUGUGAAGUAGAAGAAAAUAUUGUUAUGUUUGUUUAUGGGACAUAUGGGUGGCUUGGAAAUAAAAAUGAGAAAAGUACACAAUGCACUUAUAUUCACCCUCCUCAAUUAUUUUCACUGGAUUAUUCUAAGAAAUGAUUAUGCUUUAAUCAAAAAUAUUCCAUUUGAACAUUUUCCCCGUCUUAUGUCUUUUUCAGCCCAAUAUAAAUCUCCACCCAUCUGUUAAUCAACUGAUCAGUUUUCCUAUUCAUGCUGAAGAAAAGCAACCCCACACCACGACUCUGCCACCACCUGGAGUUUGGUGUGAUCACUUUUCAUGGCUUUCUUCCAGCAAUUAUUUUUCCACACUUACAUGAAGUUGAGAUUUGUGGAACUCACAGCUAAUAUCUGUCCUUUCUACUUAUGCUUCCGGCUGAACAUAUCACAUGGUUCUUUGUGCUUAUUAGCUGGGUUUUAAAGGUCAUAGAUUUAUUUAUAUGUACCAGAUUAGAGAGGGCAUAAUACGAAUGCAGAGUGCACUUUUCAGAUUUUUACUUGUAAUUUUUUUUUCUCUGUAUUAUUAUGCAGCACCUUGUUGUAUUCUAUCACAUAAAAGCCAAAUGAAAUACAGUGGAAUUCGUUGUGAGGAAAAGCCACAGCAGCGUAUGUAGCAGUUUUUUUUGUUUGUUUUUUUUUACCUUAACUUCAACUGCACAUAACGAAUCGCUCAAGUGUGAGAGACUGAAGAUGCAAAAAGACAGGCGGCGCCCAGAUACCUGUCACCCUUUUCAUCCAGAGGAAAAUUCAAUGGAGUGUGGAGGAGCUGGCAGCCUCACUACAUCGCUUAGUGCCACGCUGCUUUUAGCGCUCAUGGCCUUGUUCCUUAGGUGACCAAAGCUGGUCCUGACUCACCAUCCACAGCUUGACCUGGUUUGGCUUGGCUCGACGUUAUGAGGAAUUGCAGCGAAGCCACAGAAAACAACAUUUCUGUCCUGUAUGAAACUGUGCCCGAAUUCAAACCCAUCACCAAUAUGAUCCCCAGCCCAGAGGUAUCACCCGUCAGGGUCAUGCAAUAAUUGAAAGGACUGUUCAAAGGAUAAUAUUAAACUUGCUAAGACAACUACAAUCUUUUGGAAAUAUCAUAGGAGCUACAAGGUAAAGAUAGUGGGAGAAAAUUGGUACAAAUAUAACAUUGAAUGUGCUUUUUGACUCUAUGGCCCUUACCAAACCAUGAUUGGGGUUUUCUUCAGUUGUUUGAGAAACCAGGGGUCAAGAACAAGUUCAGUGGUGAAAGUUCUACCUUAGAAAAAAGCCCUGAAAGAUUUUUCAUUCAAAGUGUAGCUUUCGAUGAAGGGUGCUUAGCAUUUCUGGGUGGAUGAGAAUUUUCAACAUUAAUGUCGCCUUUUUCUGUUUUAGUCAGUUUAAUGUGCAGCACAAUCUGCACUUUUGACUUCCGAUAAUCGUAUUGCACGACGGAUUAAGUCUCACUGUAGAGAAGGCUAAAACACACCAGUAGAAGCUUAAAAACAAACAAAAAGAAAAAUCUAGGGCUAUACCCACUGACAGUUGUAACAAAAUGUUCAGUCCUUUCAGGUUGUAGCAAAGGACUGGGGUCUGUAGCUGGGUUUGGAACUGGGCAUUACAGCCACGAAACACCCACAUGGACAGAGAUGGAUGCACUUUCCCCUGGCCUGUUCUGACUUUCCAUGGACUUUUUUUGAUUCUGAAGAUUUAAAAAAAAUAUAUUCUAAAGAUGUUACAUGUGGCUGGGAUUGUUAUAUGAUGUUUGUCUAAUUAUCUUUUUUCCACAAUGAAAAAAAAAAUCUGUUACAAUAUCUACUGUAUAUGGAAAGAAAAAAAAAAGUUUAUUUAUAGUUCGCAAGUGGUACCCAUAAACUGUGACUCAGAGAUCCUCUGAUGUGAGUGGUUGUAAUAAUUAAGCUUUGCCUUAUAAAAAGAUAUCGUUCCUGUUUGUGUACUUUUGAAAUAAAAUAUUGUUUAAAAUGU